GGGGAAAAUUUGACAAUGGGGGCCAACCCCCACCCGCCAUACCGCCGGGGGGGAGAAGGGCUUUGGGGUUUUAAAGCCCUUUUUUUGGUAAAAAAACAAGCCGGGUAAAACCUUGGGGGGAUUGCCGGACCCCCAAGACAAGCCCCGCGCAACUUUCUGGCAGCAGCCGCGGUAAACGAAGGGUGCAAGCGUUACCGGAAUUACUGGGCGUAAAGCGUGCGUAGGUGGUCGUUUAAGUCCGUUGUGAAAGCCCUGGGCUCAACCUGGGAACUGCAGUGGAUACUGGGCGACUAGAGUGUGGUAGAGGGUAGCGGAAUUCCUGGUGUAGCAGUGAAAUGCGUAGAGAUCAGGAGGAACAUCCAUGGCGAAGGCAGCUACCUGGACCAACACUGACACUGAGGCACGAAAGCGUGGGGAGCAAACA
rnacentral:rRNA from 1 species